rnacentral:rRNA from 1 species
ACGAACGCUGGCGGCGUGCUUAACACAUGCAAGUGGAGCGACGAACCAGGGCUUGCCCUGGGGCAGAGCCGCGAACGGGUGAGUAACACGUGGGUAACGUGCCCCGAUGACUGGGACAACCCGGGGAAACCCGGGCUAAUACCGGAUGUGCCCCCUCACAUCAGUGAGGUGUGUAAAGGAAGCUUCGGCCUCCGCAUCGGGAUCGGCCCGCGGCCCAUUAGCUUGUUGGUGAGGUAACGGCUCACCAAGGCUGCGAUGGGUAGCUGGUCUGAGAGGACGAUCAGCCACACUGGGACUGAGACACGGCCCAGACUCCUACGGGAGGCAGCAGUGGGGAAUCUUGCGCAAUGCGCGAAAGCGUGACGCAGCAACGCCGCGUGGGGGAAGACGGCCUUCGGGUUGUAAACCCCUUUCAGUUGGGACGAAGGUCGGGCGGUUAACAGCCGUUCCGGCUGACGGUACCUGCACAAGAAGCCCCGGCUAACUACGUG